UGCUAAUUGCCGAGGUCCUCUUCUAGGAUUGGUUGUCCACUCAUAACCAUAAGAUAAUUAAAACGGGGGGGGGCAGGGUAAAAAAAAAACCCUUUUAUCAGCCAUAGGUUAAUGCAAGUGUUUAACAGAUGCUUCGCUAUUAAAAUAUUUCCCCCCAAUACUGAAGAAUCUUAAACCAGGCUAGAGCGCCAGCGCUCCUCUGACCCGGCACACUUUGGCAAAGUUGCAGUGGCCUGUUUGCUUAGGCACUGAAGUGGAUGACCCAAGUUAGGAUGACAACUUGCAGAGAACGCGGAUGAGACCUUCAGUUUGUGCCCACACUCAUUUGCAGCAACCCUAACAGAGAUUGCGAAGAUUUUCAAAGUGGGGCACCUCGAUUUCUCGAAUCUGUGGUGUGGCGAAUAUCCGUGUUCCUCCUGCUUAACUAGCCUGUUUGCAUCUUUUGACACAUUUUACUUCCGUAAUUUCGGACUGCCAGAAGGCACAGUUCAUUCUCGAGCAAUUCGUCACCUCCUGGGGGUCUUCUCUUCCCGUCUACAGGAGAGUGUGACUUCAGAAAGAACUUCGGAUUGGCCAAGGCCAUUAAAGCUGGUGAGCGACUUGGAAGUCAUUUAGAAAGGAACAGACCUUCAACCUCAAGCCUUUGCGGGCACUGGGAAAGUGUCUUCCCAAUCAAUCUGGCUUGCAGGCGGCAGGACCAACUCUGACCUGGCUUAUCUUGUACCCAUCCUAAAUACACCAAACUCAAGAGGUAGCCAGGGCCGCCUCAACACCGAGGCAGGUCUGAUUCUAUUUAUUCUAAAGACAGAGUUGGAGAUGGGCUACCAUUGGUGUUGAUUGAGAUGACAAGCAGUCACCUGAGCCCAUACAGCUGUGGGAGAAAGUGCUUGCUGCCAAGCUUGAUGACCUAAAUUGAAUACCUGGAACCUACACGACAGAAAGAGAGAGCUGACUGCUGAAAGAUGUCCUCAGAUCUUCACAUGUGCACAGUGGCACCUAUCCAACCAUGCACAUAGUAUAUUAAAAAUUAUUUUUUAAAAAA
rnacentral:lncRNA from 1 species